rnacentral:rRNA from 1 species
UACGAAGGGGGCUAGCGUUGCUCGGAAUUACUGGGCGUAAAGGGAGCGUAGGCGGACAGUUAAGUCAGUGGUGAAAGCCCAGAGCUCAACUCUGGAAUUGCCUUUGAUACUGAUUGUCUUGAGUAUGGGAGAGGUGUGCGGAACUCCGAGUGUAGAGGUGAAAAUUCGUAGAUAUUCGGAAGAACACCAGUGGCGAAGGCGGCACACUGGCCCAUUACUGACGCUGAGGCUCGAAAGCGUGGGGAGCAAACAGG